ACACUCCUGCGGGAGGCAGCAGUGGGGAAUAUUGGACAAUGGGCGCAAGCCUGAUCCAGCCAUGCCGCGUGAGUGAUGAAGGCCCUAGGGUUGUAAAGCUCUUUCACCGGUGAAGAUAAUGACGGUAACCGGAGAAGAAGCCCCGGCUAACUUCGUGCCAGCAGCCGCGGUAAUACGAAGGGGGCUAGCGUUGUUCGGAUUUACUGGGCGUAAAGCGCACGUAGGCGGACUAUUAAGUCAGGGGUGAAAUCCCGGGGCUCAACCCCGGAACUGCCUUUGAUACUGGUAGUCUUGAGUUCGGGAGAGGUGAGUGGAAUUCGGAGUGUAGAGGUGAAAUUCGUAGAUAUUCGGAGGAACACCAGUGGCGAAGGCGGCUCACUGGCUCGAUACUGACGCUGAGGUGCGAAAGCGUGGGGAGCAAACAGGAUUAGAAACCCCGGUAGUCCC
rnacentral:rRNA from 1 species